AUUGAACGCUGGCGGCAGGCCUAACACAUGCAAGUCGAGCGGUUGAGGGGAGCUUGCUCCCUGAUUUAGCGGCGGACGGGUGAGUAAUGCGUAGGAAGCUGCCCGAUAGAGGGGGAUACCAGUUGGAAACGACUGUUAAUACCGCAUAAUGUCUACGGACCAAAGUGUGGGACCUUCGGGCCACAUGCUAUCGGAUGCGCCUACGUGGGAUUAGCUAGUUGGUGAGGUAAUGGCUCACCAAGGCGACGAUCUCUAGCUGGUUUGAGAGGAUGAUAAGCCACACUGGAACUGAGACACGGUCCAGACUCCUACGGGAGGCAGCAGUGGGGAAUAUUGGACAAUGGGCGCAAGCCUGAUCCAGCCAUGCCGCGUGUGUGAAGAAGGCCUUCGGGUUGUAAAGCACUUUCAGCGAGGAGGAAGGGUGGUGUGUUAAUAGCACAUCAUUUUGACGUUACUCGCAGAAGAAGCACCGGCUAACUCUGUGCCAGCCGCCGCAGUAAUAC
rnacentral:rRNA from 1 species